rnacentral:rRNA from 1 species
UAAUACAGAGGGUGCGAGCGUUAAUCGGAAUUACUGGGCGUAAAGGGCGCGUAGGCGGUUAAUCAAGUGAGAUGUGAAAUCCCCGGGCUUAACCUGGGAACCGCAUUUUAGACUGAUUGACUGGAGUGCAGUAGAGGGUAGCGGAAUUUCCGGUGUAGCGGUGAAAUGCGUAGAGAUCGGAAGGAACACCCGUGGCGAAGGCGGCUACCUGGACUGAGACUGACGCUGAGGCGCGAGAGCAUGGGGAGCAAACAGGAUUAGAUACCCUGGUAGUCCAUGCUGUAAACGAUGAGGACUAGAUGUUGUUUUGCGCGAGCGAAAGAGUAUCGAAGCUAACGCGAUAAGUCCUCCGCCUGGGAAGUACGGCCGCAAGGUUA